GUCACAUAUUAUUAUGACAUCUAUUUUUCCAGAGUCUGUUUUAAGCAUUUGUCAGAACCAAAAAGAUGAUUCUGAAAGGCAGUGGAGAAGGUAAAUGCUUUUAGCAGACCUAACUCCAGGAGUUCUCUCAUUGUCCAUGUAGCAUAAAAGGAGAAAUGGCUAGGCACAUCGUGGCCAGGGACUUGGAGGCCAGCUGGCUGGGGCCCCGAAAGAAGCACAGUGAUGAGCAGGAUGAACACACGGGCAGAGAAGACUCUGGAAUAAGCUCUGAGUGUGUGAACGUUUCUGUCCCAGGUAAAUGCUCACAACAGCCUGCAUAGAGUAGGGGGCUCUCAGUCCCCUGGAAGACAAGACCCAGCCAGCAGUGAAGAAUAUGAAGGGACAUCUUCCCUCACUGUGAGUCACCGGUUGCUAGGGAAAGGUGGGACCACACUGUGAGGACCUUCAGCCAUUCCUUCUCAUCCAGAAAGAAAAGUCCAUUUCAGUGGGUCAUGAGGGCUCAGAGCUCACAGGAUGGUCACAGAGAUGGAGGGGAAGGAGUCGGGCUGAAUCCCUCAACACACCUCCUGCUUCUCCAGGUCCAAGGAAAUCACACCUCAAUUCAUGCGCUCAGAUUCAGGAAGAACUUACCUUGUAACACAGCUGUGCCACUUUCUCGCUCUCUGAGACUCCCAGAGCAUCCUCCAGGGAGACACCCAGGAGAGGACCUGCAUGGCGAAGCUCUGGGGCGAGCAGCUGGGGUCUCCAUCCCCACUCUGAGUGCCCCGUGGAACCUGCUGCCCUCCGAGGACACAUGAGGGAGUGCUUGGGGCCAGCCAUGCCAUCUGAGUCACCCAGGGCCAGGUUGCCUGUGUUUGUCCCCACUGAUCUCAGCACGCCUAGUAGGGUCACCUCCCCCGCAGCAAGUUGCAACAAGAAAACCUCACCAUAUUUGUAGCAGCCCAGAUGGAGGGGUCUCUUGUCUCCCUGACAGAAACACGGGAGUCAAGGUCUGCUCGUGUCCUCAUGAGUUUUCAGCAGUGCUGAAGCCAUAAGAGAUGCCCUUUGAAACCAUGCAAACCCAGCAACGGCUCUUACUGCUACUAAAUGAGCAACGAACUAGUGGAUCUCCAUGAGCCCUGGAAGUUAGAAGCCAGGGGAGAUAAAUGCAGUCAGAUGGCUACACAGCAGGACCCAGGUACGAAACUGAUGCCAAAUGGAAUCCAGACCAACAUCCAGGGCAUUAUCCAUGCUGCUGGGAGAGUGACAGGCCCCAGAGGUCCAGAGAAACAAACCAGAUGGAAACCCAGCUCUCAACGACAUGUCCAGCAGUUAUGAACCAAUACCUGGGCAGUGCCUCCCCUCACCACGGGUCAGCCCAAACUGGAUGCCCGUUCCUCCGCAACUGACAUCUCUGUGCACACAGUGAUAGCCUUUAGGUGACCCCCUCUGGCGCUGUCGGGCUGUACAAGCCCAGAGGACCUAUCAACAAAGCACCUCCCCGCCAGGAGCAAGGUCCCUGGCUGUCGUUGCUCACCACAGCCUCGUGCCCAAGGACUGCUGAGGAGCUGGAGUCUGUACCCAGGCACUGAGCAGGCAGAAUGAAAUCUCCACAAGGUCUGCAAGGACACAGGACUAAAAGACCUUGAUCUGAGCUUUUCGCAGCCCCCACCAAAUUCUUCCAUUUAUAUAGUGUGUGAUCGAAAAAUAAGGUGAAUGUUUAAGGUUUUGUUUGUUUGUUUGUUUGGUUUGGUUUUGUUGUUUUAAAUUAUUACAGUAAAAGAUUCAUUGCCAUAUACUGGCACCCUCUGAAACAUUCCUGGAAGCCUCUGCAGUAGGCUCCAGUCUCUUAUUCAGUAUACGACGCAGGCCUGAGGGGGAAAAAAAGCUAAAAGACAGAACUAAGAGAGAGAAAGCAGGGGGCCAGGAUGACUACUGCCAGUGCAACUGACAAAGGCCUGGCCAGUCCAAGCCACUGAUUUUUUUUGGUAACCAAUUGGCAUAAAGGCAAGCUAUGUGCAAGGGCAGAACUACAUGUGAGGAUGUGCAGUCCUUUGGUUUCUAUGGAAAUGAAUCUAAGCAAGGCUCGUGAAGGUCAAGACAAAGCAUUCUCCAAUUAGGAACAGAAUAGACAAAAUAUAUACUGUCCUUCUAAGAAGGUUUUAGUUGUGAGAAUGGAAUUUGGGUGCGAGUUACUCUGACCUCUGCACACAGGCUUCAGCUGCACUUGCUUCCAUAAACAAGCCGAUUGAGGGGUCGAGUCUUCACAGCCAGUACUGCUAACAGCCUGCUUUGGUCAUAAUCAAUACUGCUGUCUCCCUCAGCCACAAAUCCCCCUUAAAAUACUCCUCCUCACUUCUGGCUCACUUAUCCCAUUGUUCUUACCAUUUCCCGCAGCAGCUCUGGAGUUCUCUUUCCUGAGUGUCUUUAAUUGUGCUGUUGUGGGUGCCUCAAUGCCCUGAAUUGAUUGAAAACAUUUCCCUUUCACAGUUAUUUUGACUUUGGAGAAGAGCCAGGAGUGGCACAGUGCCCUAUCCAGGGAAUAAGGUGGAUGAGGACACAGUGUCAUGUUUUUAUGAGCUGCCUUUCCUUUGGAUGGCGCUUGGCAGCAGCAUUCACUAUGUUUUUUUAUCACACCUAGUAAAGACACAACAUUGGUGCUCUCACAAACCAAAAUUGUUUAUAAUAAUGGACUUUUGGGGGUCUGUGUUCAUGUGUUACAUUUCAGUGUCAUAUUGAUAAUCAACAGGAUUGGAUAUUAGUCAUCUAAGGGCUAUAGAAAACCCAUUGAUCCUAAUAUAAUGUUGUCAGUCACAAGCAUUAAGUUAUUAUGUAUUACCUUUAUGUUAUAUAAAAUAAAUGACUACAUUAUCUUGUCAAUUGCUAAACUCAUCAAAAUUCUACCUGGCUAUUCUAAGUCUUCUGUCAUUCACAGUUCUGAUUCUUCUCUGGAAUAUUUACAAUCAGAUUAAUCGGCAAGGAACUCUAACAAAUGCGACUAAAAAUUGUUUAAUUAUUUUCAUAAAACUGAUAUAACAAAUAAAUCAUUUCCUGAUUCAAAACUGUCAUACAAAUUGAAUAUGGCUUGCUCUGGUUGGAUUUGUUUUAUAUUUUCCUCUUUUUUUAGCAUUAUAAUUGUUGUCUUAAAAUUCUACAAAAGUACAACCCCUAGCAAAGAGAUCC
ensembl:lncRNA